AGCGAACGCUGGCGGCAUGCCUAACACAUGCAAGUCGAACGAGACCUUCGGGUCUAGUGGCGCACGGGUGCGUAACGCGUGGGAACCUGCCCUUAGGUUCGGAAUAACUCCCCGAAAGGGGUGCUAAUACCGGAUAAUGUCUUCGGACCAAAGAUUUAUCGCCUUUGGAUGGGCCCGCGUUGGAUUAGCUAGUUGGUAGGGUAAAAGCCUACCAAGGCGACGAUCCAUAGCUGGUCUGAGAGGAUGAUCAGCCACACUGGGACUGAGACACGGCCCAGACUCCUACGGGAGGCAGCAGUGGGGAAUAUUGGACAAUGGGCGAAAGCCUGAUCCAGCAAUGCCGCGUGAGUGGUGAAGGCCUUAGGGUUGUAAAGCUCUUUUACCCGGGAUGAUAAUGACAGUACCGGGAGAAUAAGCUCCGGCUAACUCCGUG
rnacentral:rRNA from 1 species